GCGGGUGUGUUGGAAUUGGUAGACAAGCAGGAUUCAGAAUCCUGUGAGUGUAACGCUCGUGUGGGUUCGACUCCCAUCAUCCGCA
rnacentral:tRNA from 1 species